rnacentral:lncRNA from 1 species
AUGCUGCUCAUGAGCAGCCCGAUGGUUUCGCAGCCCGGCUCCUUGCCUUCGAUCCAGGUGAUCUUAUCGCCUCGAAUGUCCUUGGACGAGUCGCUCUUCUGGCUGACCAGCUGGCCGUCCGUGAACUUGCCGGUGUCGUGCAGAGCGCGCACCUCGUCGCCGAUCUGCUGCCCGGUCUCCUUGCCCAGGAAGUCGUCCACCACGCAGAUGCCGUGCUUGUUCAUGCACGGCACGAUGUACUCCAGCGCCAGCUUCAGCGCCGGCAACGGCUUCGUCUGCCCGUUGGGCCGCAGGCCGCCGCCGUGGCUCAGCCCCUCGCCCGGCGUGCUGCUCGGCGGGCACAGUGUUCGCGUAAACUGUAAAGCAGCAACCACCACAAACUGACAAGAGACUUAUUAAGACUGAGGCAAAGCUGAGAGUAAGUACACAGGACAGAGGUAAGUGAGGAAAUGAAUUUACAAACGGCUCUGUUGACUCUUGAGGAAAGCCCAAGGAACAACUCACCUUCAAGGGACUAGUCCCAUUUCUCCUUUAAAAGUAUGUUAAAAAUUCACAAGAGAGUAUCUUUGCUGUUCAGGAAAUAAAAAUCAAACAUCUGAUCGUUAACCAAUGACCUCGUUUCCCCAUCUAUGACGAUCUUGUUUUAAUACGUUACAGAGAACAGAAAAAUCACAAGUAUAACAUAGGCAUCCCACCAAGAUAAACAGGAAGACGAUCUUUGAGUUCUGGGAAAGCAACUAAAAUUCUGAGCCAUUUUCUAACUAUAGUAUUGGGACAUACACAAGUAGGUGUCGUUGGGAAAUAGCACCUGCUCUUUUCUGUACUGGGGGUUCUGCCAGAAGUACACAUAAGCUGUGUGCUUCCCCACGUACGUGGAGCCAGCUUUGCUGUCUACUAAGGUUUCUUUAGAAAAUAAGAUAUUUCAAAGACUUUUUAUGUAUUCUAGAAAAUCUGUCACCCAACUUUAUCAGCUUAUGGUUUAAAACUUAUCGAUCUAGGGGCGCCUGGGUGGCACAGCGGUUAAGCGUCUGCCUUCAGCUCAGGG